UCAAAUGAGUAAAGGCUUAUGGUGGAUACCUAGGCACCCAGAGAUGAGGAAGGGUAUAGUAAUCGAUGAAAUGGUUCAUGGAGUUGAAAAUAAGCAUAGAUUCGGAGAUUCCCAAAUAGGGCAACCUUUCGAACUACUACUAAAUCUAUGGGCAGGCAAAAGAUAACCUGGCAAACUGAAACAUCUUAGUAGCCAGAGAAAAAGAAAGCAAAAGUGAUUCUUGUAGUAGUGACGAGCGAAAUGGGAGCAGCCUAAAUCGUGAAAAUCGGGUUGUGGGAGAGCAAUACAAGCAUCGUCCUGCUACGUAAAGUAGCACGAAUGCUGCACCCUAGAUGGCAAAAGUCCAGUAGCUAAAAGUAUCACUAGCUUACACUCUAACCCGAGUAGCAUGGGACAUGUGGAAUCCCUUGUGAAUUAGCAAGGACCACCUUGCAAGGCUAAAUACUCCUGGGUGAUCGAUAGCGAAGUAGUACCAUGAGGAAAGGGCAAAAAGAACCCCCAUUGGGAAGUGAAAUAGAAUAUGAAACCAUAAGCUCCCAAGUAGUAGGAGGAGCCAGGUCUCUGACCACGUGCCUGUUGAAAAAUGAGCCGGUGACUCAUAGGUAGUGGCUUGGUCAAGGGAACACACCGGAGUCGUAGCGAAAACAAGUCUUCAUAGGGCAAUUGUCACUGCUUAUGGACCCGAACCUAGGUGAUCUAUCCAUGAUUAGGAUGAAGCUUGGGUGAAACUAAGUGGAGGUCUAAACCGAUAGAUUUUGAAGAAUCAACGGAUGAGUUGUGGUUAGGGGUGAAAUGCCACUCGAACCCAGAGCUAGCUGGUUCUCCCGAAAAUGCAUUGAGAUGCUGCAAUUGAUUGAACAUCUAGGGAUAAAGCACUAUUUUGGUCUAGGCCACCGAGCGGUACCAAAUCGAGGCAAACUCUGAAUAGUAGAUAUGACCUCAAAAUAAUAGGGGUCAAGGUCGGUCAGUGAGAAGAUGGGGGAUAAGCUUCAUCGUCGAGAGGGAAACAACCCAGAUCACCAGCUAAGGCCCCUAAAUGAUCGCUCAGUAGUAAAGGAGGUAGGGAUGUAGAGAUAGCCAGGAGGUUUACCUAGAAGCAGCCAUCCUUAAAAGAGUGCGUAAUAGCUCACUGAUCGAGCGCUCUUGCGUUGAAGAUGAAUGAAGCUAAAUGAUUUGUCGAAGCCUUGGGAUGUAAAAAUACAUCGGUAGGGGAGUGUUCCACCUUAGAAGGAGGCCCCCACGGAAGCAGUGGUGGAGGAAGCGAAAGAGAGAAUGUUAACAUGAGUAACGUAAAUAUCGGUGAGAAUCCAAUGCCCCGAAAACCUAAGGGUUCAUUAGUAAGGUUCAUCCAAAAAGGGUGAGUCAGGGCCUAAGAUUAGGUCGAAAGGUGUAGUCGAUGGACAAUAGGUGAAUAUUCCUAUACCACCCCUUGUUGGUCCUGAGGGAUGGAGGAGGAUAGGUUAGCUGAAAGCUGGUUAUCGGUUCAAAAACAUAAGGUGCCCCUACCAUUUUAGGGUAAGAAAGGGCAGAGAAAAUGCCUCGAGCCAAUUUUCGAGCACCAGGCUCUAUGGCGCUGAAGUAACCCACGCCAUACACCUAGGAAAAGCUCAAACAACCUUUAAACAAAAGGGUACCUGUACCCAAAACCGUCAUAGGUGGUUAGGUAGAGAAUACCUAGGGGCACGAGAUAACUCUCUCUAAGGAACUCGGCAAAAUAGUCACGUAACUUCGGGAGGAGGGGUGCCUCCUCACAAAGGGGGUCGCAAUGACCAGGCCUGGGCGACUGUUUACCAAAAACACAGGUCUCCAUGAAGUCGUAAGGCCAUGUAUGGGGACUGACGCCUGCCCAGUGCCAGAAGGUCUAGAAAGUUGGUGACCUGAUGACAGGGGAGCCGACGGCCUAAGCCCCAAUGAAUAAUAACCGUAACUAUAACGAUCCUAAGUUAGCAAAAUUCCUUGUCGAGUAAAUUUCGACCCGCACGAAAGGCAUAACGAUCUGUGUACUAUCUUGGAGAGAGGCUCGAUAAAAUAGACAUGUCUGUAAAGAUGCAGACUACCUACACCUGGAUAGAAAGUGAUGUGAUCCAAGAGCCGCAAGCAACCAAAUUAAGUCCAACGUCAAGCUUGGGGAAAGAUCUGUUGAAAGUUGAAGGUGGACCUAUGACACGAGCACUGACAAAGCGAGUGAAAGAGGUUAUGGGAUUACUCGUUAAGAUAACCAUUGAUGAAAUCAUGUUCGGGACUCAAAAUAUGACACAUUUCGUGUUCAGGUCGAAGGCUAAAACCAAUUGGAUCAACACGAUACAAACAGCCGAAGAUGGAGCUGGAGAGAAGAACCAUGCGACCGCAUGUUUAAAACCAUCCUGCGGUAGCACGAAGUGAGUCAGGGAAAUAUUCGAGAUUUUUGAAUGUUUCAUGCAGCCGCAUGAUUUUACACCAUGCGACCGCAUGGUUAAAAUUUAACGCAUUUUUUUU
rnacentral:rRNA from 1 species